AGAUUAGCUAUGUCAACACUAUCCGCUUUCCUCUUCAAUUUUCGUCAUCUUCUUUAUUUUCAACUUU